rnacentral:miRNA from 1 species
UCCCCUGGCAGACCUUGUUAAAAAUGCAGAUUCUCUCCUGAGUUUCUAGAUUCUGCAUUUCUAACUAGCUCCAGAGGGUGUGG